UACGGAGGGGGCUAGCGUUGCUCGGAAUCACUGGGCGUAAAGCGCACGUAGGCGGAUUGUUAAGUCAGGGGUGAAAUCCUGGAGCUCAACUCCAGAACUGCCUUUGAUACUGGCGACCUUGAGUCCGGGAGAGGUGAGUGGAACUGCGAGUGUAGAGGUGAAAUUCGUAGAUAUUCGCAAGAACACCAGUGGCGAAGGCGGCUCACUGGCCCGGUACUGACGCUGAGGUGCGAAAGCGUGGGGAGCAAACAGG
rnacentral:rRNA from 1 species